rnacentral:rRNA from 1 species
GACGAACGCUGGCGGCGUGCUUAACACAUGCAAGUCGAACGGAAAGGCCCUGCUUUUGUGGGGUGCUCGAGUGGCGAACGGGUGAGUAACACGUGGGUGAUCUGCCCCUUACUUUGGGAUAAGCCUGGGAAACUGGGUCUAAUACUGGAUAGGACCAUGCUGUAGGUGGUGUGGUGGAAAGAUUUUUUCGGUAAGGGAUGAGCUCGCGGCCUAUCAGCUUGUUGGUGGGGUAAUGGCCUACCAAGGCGUCGACGGGUAGCCGGCCUGAGAGGGUGGACGGCCACAUUGGGACUGGGAUACGGCCCAGACUCCUACGGGAGGCAGCAGUGGGGAAUAUUGCACAAUGGGCGCAAGCCUGAUGCAGCGACGCCGCGUGGGGGAUGACGGCCUUCGGGUUGUAAACUCCUUUCAGCCAUGACGAAGCCUCUUUUGGGGUGACGGUAGUGGUAGAAGAAGCACCGGCUAACUACGUG